UAGAAUUUGGUGUAUUUGGGAGCACGAAGAGUUUUGGAUUCUUAGGAGUAGGUUCAAUUCCUAUAAUUCUAG
rnacentral:tRNA from 3 species